rnacentral:rRNA from 1 species
GCGAGCGAAAAGAAAUCAGUUCAGCACUAAGUCACUUUGUCUUUAUGGCAAAUGUGAGAUGCAGUGUAUGGAAUGUCAAAUUUCUAGUAUGAGAAAUUAACGAUUUAAGUCCUUCUUAAAUGAGGCCAUUUACCCAUAGAGGGUGCCAGGCCCGUAUAACGUUAAUGAUUACUAGAUGGCAUUUCCAAAGAGUCGUGUUGCUUGAUAGUGCAGCACUAAGUGGGUGGUAAACUCCAUCUAAAACUAAAUAUAACCAUGAGACCGAUAGUAAACAAGUACCGUGAGGGAAAGUUGAAAAGAACUCUGAAUAGAGAGUUAAAUAGUACGUGAAACUGCUUAGAGGUUAAGCCCGAUGAACCUGAAUAUCCAUUAUAGAAAAUUCAUCAUUAUGAUUUUAAUAUUAAUAAUAUUAUAAUAAUGGUGUGCAUUUUUUCUAUAACGGACAUUGUAAUCUAUUAACAUAAAUAUAUUUAUCAUAAGAUCAAUGAUGCGUAAGUUUAUUCAAAUUAUUUUGCUUGCAAUUUUAACAUAGAAUAAAUGCUCUUGAUUUGAUAAAGUGUUGAUAGAUUUAUUGUAUAUAGUGCUUAAAUAUUUAUAUUUUAUAAUAGCAUAUUAAUCAUUGAUUUUUAUGUUUAUUAUAUGCACUUAUAUGAUUAACAAUGCGAAAGAUUCAGGAUACCUUCGGGACCCGUCUUGAAACACGGACCAAGGAGUCUAACAUAUUUGCAAGUUAUUGGGUAUUUAAAACCUAAUAGCGAAAUUAACAUAACUUUAAUGGGAUUAGUUUUUAGAUUAUUUUUAAUAGUCUAUUAAUUCAAUCCCGGGGCGUUCUAUACAGUUAUGUAUAAUAAUAUUUAUAUUAUUUAUACCUCUAACUAGAGCGUACCUUGAGCAUAUAUGCUGUGACCCGAAAGAUGGUGAACUAUACUUGAUCAGGUUGAAGUCAGGGGAAACCCUGAUGGAAGACCGAAACAGUUCUGACGUGCAAAUCGAUUGUCAGAAUUGAGUAUAGGGGCGAAAGACCAAUC